CCUAUUAUGUCGGCGUGCAUGCAAACAACCAACCGGGAUUCUAUGGCAAGCCCAAGAGCUCAUAAAAACACUAUUAAUCAAUCGCGUUUACAAUUAAAACGCCGCAUUAAACGGCGCUAAUACCAUUUCAAACGCCGCUAAAAACGCCGUUCUGAUUGCAAACGCCGCAAAUAACGCGCGUAAACCUGUAAAAAACGCCGUUUUUAACGCCGUUUUAGUGUUAGUAAAAAGCGCGGCUUAUAACGCGAUCCGCUUGCCACAAAACGCCGUUUAAAACGCCGUUUUAACCCCACUGAAACGCGCGUUAUAAACGGCGCUUUCCUGAAGUAUAAUGAGCCACGCCCGCUGAUUUCCACAGCCAGUAAGCUUGAGCUGCUCUCACCCAAUCAAGGAUGAACACAACCAGACAAGACUAGUUCACCACUGAUCGUGGCGGAAUAAGUGACUCUGAACUGAUAGCAAAUGCUUAUUAACAAAGUACCUUUUACCAUAGAGCGAUUCCACGUCUUUAUGCUUGUAAAUGUUCAUUUUAGAUAGAUGGCAUCAGCAGAAAUGUAUUUUUGGAAGUGCCUUGGCAAAAGUGAGCGGGCAUGUUAUUGUAACCCUUAUUUAUGGCUGUUUACAGACCAUUUCCUCCAACGUGGGCAUCGUAAAUAAACGCUGGUUACCAGGGUGAUAAUUCGUUUCUUUUCUUUAAUCUGGAGCAUCGACAUAACAUUCACAAACAACAUUACAACAGCAUUGCAUCUGCCGAAUUCCUCCACUUCCUUUUUUCCCUUUCUCCUGCUUUCCGGUGCGCCUCCCUUAAAGGAGCCAGAGCACAACAACCUUGUAUCAGACAUAUUGAACGUAAAUAGAAAAUCUUUUUAAGUAGAUUCAAUAACAUUUUUACGGUUAUUAAUUAGCAAAAUAUUAAUUGAAAUAAUGAAUAAAAUAUAAAGUUACAUUGACAGCAGGUCUGCAAACGCAAACUGACUCAAUACUAUUAGGGCUGCAUGGGCAACAUCAGUUGGAGGGCUAAUGCAGAUUUUAGCUCCAGCCCAUCAAGCACCGGCCAGCUUUAGUGGUCUUGAAUACGUUGGUUAGCUUGUUUGGGUGCGUUUGAUGUGCGUUAUAGCAAAACUCCACAAUGCUAUCCCUGACAGGCCCUGCCAGAGGCAUUUUAAUAGGGCAGACCUUAUGACUGAUUUUGGACCCUCUUGUUCCUUUCAUUUAGGCUAUUUAUUUACUUAUUUGUUAUUACUUUGCAUUGCUGCCCAAGUUACUAGCUUAAGGCAGUAUAAUAUAUAUUGUAGUAAUAAUAAUACGCACAGUUUCAUUAUUACAUCAAUGGAUUAGUGCAACGAUACCGUUUAUAUAAAUGCGACAGAUCUUUCAGCGCCAAACAAGUGCUCUACAUUAUUUUGUUCUCCUUAUUUAUUUCCGUUUUAUUUCAAAUAAUAAAUGUUAAAAGUUUUAAGUAAAGACAUCAAACUAUGCCCACACAUGCAAGCUAACCCGGUUAGACUAUUCUAUACCGAUAUAGUGAAAUCAGUAUAACACAAAAAAUACGUUUAAAAAUCAAGAUUUAAUAUUAAAUGCCAUUUAAUAUUAUUUUUAAUAUUAAACAAUUUUUAAAUUGUUUAAAAGUUUAUGUAAAUGCUGCGUUCAGGCUGCGUUACUUUAAAGUGUGCAUUACCGAGCCUCAUUCAAGCACUGCAGCAGAGAGCGUUGUCAUGGAAAUGGAGCAACGACACAACACGACCCCUGACCGUCAACAGCACUUCUCUCAUGCGGCAGAUUUCACUAAUUUCAGGUAAGUUUAGUCGCUAAAAUCAUGCAAAUGUUACAUACAACUGUUUCUGACACCUUUCUUACUGACAAUUGACAUGUUUCAGUUGAAUAUGUAUUUUAUAGAGACGGUUGUGUCUUUGGAAAAAGUUAGUUAGCAUUUUAGCAGAGGAAACGUUAGCAUUAGGCUACUAGCUCUUGUUUAUACAAGUUUUGGCUUUUAAUUACAUCUUUAUGUGUACAUGAGAGGUUUGUCAAUGUUUUAUUGGAGGUAGUCUACUUUAUUUAGCCUAAAAUAUGCACUUUACUGUUAAGGAGAGCAAAUUAAAACGUUAAAGUUAGUACACAUGUGUUAACUUUACCUUACUUUGAUAUUUCACAGUAAUGUAAACUAAUGUUUAUUUCAAAAAGUGCUCUGUGGUUUCAGGAGUGACAAAAUUACCCCUACAACAAAAUAGCAGAGCCAAGAUGAAGGGAGCUGAUCACAGAGAUGGAGGAAACACAGCAUCUUAAAGGGGCCCAAUGGUUCUAGAGCCAAUCAGCUUCUGAACAUAUUUAUAUCAUAAGAAAGAAGCCUGCUACAAGAGAGACAGCGGAAGGGAGCCUCCAAGACAUUUUUAUUAGGAUCUGCUAAUCAUGAGGGGGCAGACAAAAGAAACUGCAUUUUCCUUCAGCUUAAUAUCAGGGGCCGGCACAGCGGAAGAAUCUGGAUAUUACUCUGGCAUAUGUUUUACACAUCAAAUGGACUCCCAGCUGCAACCCAGCACUGUGAAACACCCAUACACUCUCGCAUUCACAGACACUUCUACACAAUGUUCAAAUUCACCUACAGUAUAGCGCAUGUGUUUGGACUGUGGUGGAGACCCACACCAAAACAGGGAGAACAUGCAAACUCCACACAGUAAUGCCAACUGACCCAACCGGGACUUGAACCACCAACCUUUUUGCUGUGAGGUAACAGUCUGAGCCACUGUGCUGCCCCAGUGUAGUUCUUAAUAACUUCCAGACAUUUUACAGUUUGAUUUUGUAAUAAUAAUGUGUGUUUACAUUUAUUGUAAUAUGUUAAUAUUUAUUCACAAUGUAAUGAAUUUUUUAUGUUAUUUAUAUUAACGUUAAAUGUUAUAUUAAUGUUAUAAUAUAUUAUAAUAAAUAAUUAUAAUAAUGUUAAAUUAUAAAUAAUAAUUUAAUAAUGUUAUAAUGUUUUUUAUAGUUUAUUUUUAUAUAUAAUGAUAAGUCUCAAAGUUCGUCUUUUUAUUAUAUGACAAACUUAUUGUUGUAUGGGUAAUACUUUUCAAUAAGGUUGUAUGUAUUAGUUAAUGUUAAUGUAUUUACUAAUGUAACCAAUACAUUUAUUACAGUAUUUAUUCGUCUUUGCUAAUGUUGGUAAAUGGUAAAAAAAAGUUGUUCAUUGUUUUUCCAUGUUAAUUCACAAUUUAUAAACUAAAGUUAACAAGCA